rnacentral:rRNA from 1 species
UACAGAGGUGGCGAGCGUUAUUCGGAAUUAUUGGGCGUAAAGGGCGCGUAGGCGGCCAAGCAAGUCCUGGGUGAAAUCCCUCGGCUCAACCGAGGAACUACCUCGGAAACUGCAUGGCUUGAGGCCGGGAGAGGGUAGCGGAAUUCCCAGUGUAGCGGUGAAAUUCGUAGAUAUUGGGAAGAACACCGGUGGCGAAGGCGGCCAUCUGGACCGCAACUGACGCUGAGGCGCGAAAGCGUGGGGAGCAAACAGG